rnacentral:rRNA from 1 species
UACGGGGGGAGCAAGCGUUGUUCGGAUUUACUGGGCGUAAAGGGCGAGUAGGCGGUCGUGACAAGUCACUUGUGAAAUCUCCGGGCUUAACUCGGAACGGUCAAGUGAUACUGUCGGACUAGAGUACAGAAGGGGCAACUGGAAUUCUCGGUGUAGCGGUGAAAUGCGUAGAUAUCGAGAGGAACACCUGCGGCGAAGGCGGGUUGCUGGGCUGAUACUGACGCUGAGGCGCGAAAGCCAGGGGAGCGAACGGG